rnacentral:rRNA from 1 species
AUACGUAGGGGGCGAGCGUUGUCCGGAAUGAUUGGGCGUAAAGGGCGCGUAGGCGGCCCGGUAAGUCUGGAGUGAAAGUCCUGUUUUUAAGAUGGGAAUUGCUUUGGAUACUGUCGGGCUUGAGUGCAGGAGAGGUAAGUGGAAUUCCCAGUGUAGCGGUGAAAUGCGUAGAGAUUGGGAGGAACACCAGUGGCGAAGGCGACUUACUGGACUGUAACUGACGCUGAGGCGCGAAAGUGUGGGGAGCGAACAGGAUUAGAUACCCUGGUAGUCCACACUGUAAACGAUGAAUGCUAGGUGUAGGGGGUAUCGACCCCUUCUGUGCCGCAGUCAACACAAUAAGCAUUCCGCCUGGGGAGUACGGCCGCAAGGUUGAAACUCAAAUGAAUUGGCGGG